UACGAAGGGUGCAAGCGUUAAUCGGAAUUACUGGGCGUAAAGCGUGCGUAGACGGUCAUGUAAGUCGGGUGUGAAAGCCCCCGGGCUCAACCUGGGGAACGGCGCGGGGAAACUAGCAGGCUUGAGUUCGGGAGAGGGAAGCGGAAUUCCGGGUGGUAGCGGUGAAAUGCGUAGAUAUCUGGGAGGAACACCGGUGGCGAAGGCGGCAUCCUGGACCAACACUGACGCUGAGGAGCGAAAGCCAGGGGGAGCAAACGGG
rnacentral:rRNA from 1 species